rnacentral:lncRNA from 1 species
CAAAAACCAGAACUCUUCCGCGGAUUCUCAUUAUCCAAAGGAUAAAGGAAAAAAAAAGAAAAAACUGGAUUCUACCAAUACAGCAGCAGCAUAAUGCAGAUAUUACAGCUGAGAAGUAGUCUGGGUCAAUUAAAGCAGCAGCAGUUGACGUCAACAUCCUAUACAUGUCUAUAUCCAGCCAUCAAAAUAUAUGAAUAUAGAAGAAUUCUUCCUAGAGUUCUGAGACUGCUGAAGGCUCUUGGAUGGAUAGGAACUGAGGCAAUAGCAAGAAAGAAAAAAGGUGGGCCACAAUGUCUUAAUGUCUUAAUGAGGUCAUUUGCUGGUGGUUUGCCAACUCUUCAACAAAGAAUUGUGGUUUAAGGUACAAUGGG